rnacentral:rRNA from 1 species
GAUGAACGCUGGCUACAGGCUUAACACAUGCAAGUCGAGGGGAAACGGCAUUGAGUGCUUGCACUGAAUGGACGUCGACCGGCGCACGGGUGAGUAACGAGUAUCCAACCUUCCCGUUACUGCGGGAUAACCUGCCGAAAGGCAGACUAAUACCGCAUGUUCUUCGAUGACGGCAUCAGAUUCGAAGCAAAGAUCCGUCGGUAACGGAGGGGGAUGCGUCUGAUUAGCUAGUUGGCGGGGCGACGGCCCACCAAGGCGACGAUCAGUAGGGGUUCUGAGAGGAAGGUCCCCCACAUUGGAACUGAGACACGGUCCAAACUCCUACGGGAGGCAGCAGUGAGGAAUAUUGGUCAAUGGGCGGAAGCCUGAACCAGCCAAGUAGCGUGCAGGAUGACGGCCCUACGGGUUGUAAACUGCUUUUAUGCGGGGAUAAAGUGAGGGACGCGUCCCUUUUUGCAGGUACCGCAUGAAUAAGGACCGGCUAAUUCCGUG